rnacentral:rRNA from 1 species
AAUAGAUACCCUGGUAGUCCAUGCCGUAAACGUUGGGCGCUAGAUGUGGGGACCAUUCCACGGUUUCCGUGUCGCAGCUAACGCAUUAAGCGCCCCGCCUGGGGAGUACGGCCGCAAGGCUAAAACUCAAAGGAAUUGACGGGGGCCCGCACAAGCGGCGGAGCAUGCGGAUUAAUUCGAUGCAACGCGAAGAACCUUACCAAGGCUUGACAUAUACGAGAACGCUCUAGAAAUAGGGAACUCUUUGGACACUCGUAUACAGGUGGUGCAUGGUUGUCGUCAGCUCGUGUCGUGAGAUGUUGGGUUAAGUCCCGCAACGAGCGCAACCCUCGUUCUAUGUUGCCAGCGGUUCGGCCGGGAACUCAUAGGAGACUGCCGGGGUCAACUCGGAGGAAGGUGGGGAUGACGUCAAAUCAUCAUGCUCCUUAUGUCUUGGGCUUCACGCAUGCUACAAUGGCCGGUACAAGGCUGCAAUACCGUAGUGAGCGAAUCCAAAAGCCGUCUCAGUUCGAUUGAGGU